GACGAACGCUGGCGGCGUGCUUAACACAUGCAAGUCGAACGGAAAGGCCCUGCUUUUGUGGGGUGCUCGGGUGGCGAACGGGUGAGUAACACGUGAGUAACCUGCCCUUGACUUUGGGAUAACUUCAGGAAACUGGGGCUAAUACCGGAUAGGAGCUCCUGCUGCAUGGUGGGGGUUGGAAAGUUUCGGCGGUUGGGGAUGGACUCGCGGCUUAUCAGCUUGUGGGUGGGGUAGUGGCUUACCAAGGCUUUGACGGGUAGCCGGCCUGAGAGGGUGGCCGGCCACAUUGGGACUGAGAUACGGCCCAGACUCCUACGGGAGGCAGCAGUGGGGAAUAUUGCACAAUGGGCGGAAGCCUGAUGCAGCAACGCCGCGUGCGGGAUGACGGCCUUCGGGUUGUAAACCGCUUUCGCCUGUGACGAAGCGUGAGUGACGGUAAUGGGUAAAGAAGCACCGGCUAACUACGUG
rnacentral:rRNA from 1 species